GGAGAAAUGGCAGAGUGGUCUAAUGCGGCAGUCUUGAAAACUGUUGUACCGUAAGGUACCUGGGGUUCGAAUCCCUAUUUCUCCG
rnacentral:tRNA from 1 species